rnacentral:rRNA from 1 species
AACGCGAAGAACCUUACCAGGUCUUGACAUCCUCUGACAACCCUAGAGAUAGGGCGUUCCCCUUCGGGGGACAGAGUGACAGGUGGUGCAUGGUUGUCGUCAGCUCGUGUCGUGAGAUGUUGGGUUAAGUCCCGCAACGAGCGCAACCCUUGAUCUUAGUUGCCAGCAUUUAGUUGGGCACUCUAAGGUGACUGCCGGUGACAAACCGGAGGAAGGUGGGGAUGACGUCAAAUCAUCAUGCCCCUUAUGACCUGGGCUACACACGUGCUACAAUGGAUGGUACAAAGAGCUGCGAACCCGCGAGGGUAAGCGAAUCUCAUAAAGCCAUUCUCAGUUCGGAUUGUAGGCUGCAACUCGCCUACAUGAAGCCGGAAUCGCUAGUAAUCGCGGAUCAGCAUGCCGCGGUGAAUACGUUCCCGGGCCUUGUA